rnacentral:rRNA from 1 species
GACGUAGGGCGCGAGCGUUGUCCGGAUUUAUUGGGCGUAAAGAGCUCGUAGGCGGCUCGUUGCGUCAACCGUGAAAACCCGGGGCUUAACUUCGGGCUUGCGGCUGAUAGGGGCGGGCUGGAGUUCGGUAGGGGAGACUGGAAUUCCUGGUGUAGCGGUGAAAUGCGCAGAUAUCAGGAGGAACACCGGUGGCGAAGGCGGGUCUCUGGGCCGAUACUGACGCUGAGGAGCGAAAGCGUGGGGAGCGAACAGG